rnacentral:lncRNA from 1 species
UGUGUGCUUGGCAUUUCUGAGGGCACAUGAGACAGCAGGUGGAAAUGCCUUGGCAUGGCAGAAUCUGGAGGAUCUCUUCUCUCCUCGAAGUCCGGAGGUGCUGAAUGAAGGCCAGGAAGCUCUGGACGGCCUCGGCCUUGGACAGGUUUUCAGGCUCCAGGUUCUUUCUGAUGGACUUCCAGUGCUCCGCCAGCUGCAAAGCACAGCCCCGGGUGCAAGCCCCUUAGUUCUGAGCUCCGGGCUUACGAAAGGCAAAAGGCGCUGUUCUCCAUGGAGAUACAACGGUCACGCCACCCAUCUCGUACACUGUGUGAAGCCAGCCGCUAAUACGUAGGACUGUUUCCUCUAGGGGGAGGGGGUGGGGGGCACGCUAGAGCUGCUCGACCUUGGACCAUUAGCCAUCUGAGGUUUGGAUGUGUGGGUCCAGCAAUGACUGUGUUGUGACAAGCACACCCGAGGCCAGGCUUUGAGCACACUAGGGGAAGUGUGCGGAAGUUUCAUUAACAGCUGGGGACUUGGUGUUUGGGAAAGGCAAAGUGAGACCUGCCAGAGUCACUGCUUUCUAACUUGCUCGGACCUCACUGCAAAUCAAAGUUUCAAACCUUCUGAGCUCCCUACUCUUCUUACGGCACUGCUUCUGUGGAAUCCAAUGCCGCGCUGUUGCUGGGAUCUCAACUGUUCAGAGUUUGUAUCUAUG